AUACGUAGGGGGCAAGCGUUGUCCGGAAUUACUGGGCGUAAAGAGCUCGUAGGUGGUUUGUCGCGUCGUCUGUGAAAUUCCGGGGCUUAACUCCGGGCGUGCAGGCGAUACGGGCAUAACUUGAGUACUGUAGGGGAGACUGGAAUUCCUGGUGUAGCGGUGAAAUGCGCAGAUAUCAGGAGGAACACCGGUGGCGAAGGGGGGUCUCUGGGAAGUAACUGACGCUGAGGAGCGAAAGCAUGGGUAGCGAACAGGAUUAGAUACCCUGGUAGUCCAUGCCGUAAACGGUGGGCGCUAGGUGUAGGGGUCUUCCACGACUUCUGUGCCGUAGCUAACCCAUUAAGCGCCCCGCCUGGGGAGUACGGCCGCAAGGCUAAAACUCAAAUGAAUUGGCGGGG
rnacentral:rRNA from 1 species